UACGAAGGGGGCUAGCGUUGUUCGGAAUUACUGGGCGUAAAGCGCACGUAGGCGGAUAUUUAAGUCAGGGGUGAAAUCCCAGAGCUCAACUCUGGAACUGCCUUUGAUACUGGGUAUCUUGAGUAUGGAAGAGGUAAGUGGAAUUGCGAGUGUAGAGGUGAAAUUCGUAGAUAUUCGCAAGAACACCAGUGGCGAAGGCGGCUCACUGGCCCGAUACUGACGCUGAGGUGCGAAAGCGUGGGGAGCAAACAGG
rnacentral:rRNA from 1 species